CCCGCUAAGUUUAAGCAUAUAAUUAAGAGGAAGAAAAGAAACUUACAAGGUUUCCCCUAGUAACAGCGAGCGAACCGGGAAGAGCCCAGCAUGAAAAUUGGGUGGCAGUGCUGCCUGAAUUAUAGUCUGUAUAAGAAUCCUUAGUGGAAGACUGAGACCAAGUCCCCUAGAAGGGGGCGCCUAAGAGGGUUAUAGCCCCAUCGGGCCAGGACCCUCCUACACCACGAGGCAUUGCUGGCAAGUUGGGUUGUUUGGGAAUGCAACUGUAAUCGAGUGGUAAAUUCUGUCCAAAGGUAAAUACAUGUGAGAUAUUGAUAGAGAAUAAGUAUCAUGAGGGAAAGAUGAAAAGGAAUUUUAAAAUAGAGUUAAAGAGUGCUUGAAAUUUCCAGGAGGGAAGCAGAUGGAGGUCAGUGAUGCGUCUUGGUCGGAUGUGAAACGACUCAAGCUGGUUCACCACUUGAAUCGAGGUGCAAACCGACACAUGUGGUUGCAUCGAAACAAGCGCGGGUGGAGUACUUCCUAUUGGUUUGUCGUUGUGGCAGUAGAGGAGUGGAGAAAUCAAGAGAUUCCACCAACACUCAUUUAAAUUUAUUUUUAAUCGCUUGCCAAUACUUCUUUUAGUUUUUUGAUAUUGAGUUCACACAUGAGGUAGUUUAUAUCUAUGAGGAUUUAGGAUCAAUUUUUCAAGCCUGAAUUUGAUGUGUAAAUAUUUAUUAAGGUAUUGGAUCCCUUAAUGACUCCUUAGUAUUAUUGACAAGUUGAAUAAGUUUUGAAAUAACCAAGCAACCACGUAGGAAACUCAAUGUUGCAUAGAAUAAGAGUUUUAUUUUUUUUCUGAGUUUAAAAUUUAGUAAUUGAACCUUCAUCAUUGAAGUAAGAAAUGAAAUGCGUCAAUUCUUUUGUAUAUUUGGAUGAUUUAGCCAAGAAAUCACUUAUUCAGUGAGGUUACUCGUUGUCCAAACCAACUGCUUGAGGUUAUUGACCCUUGCACUCAACAAAUUUCCUCCUUGGGGUAAAUCACUCACUUGUCCUUAUGACCUCUCUUGGGCCUUGUGCACUAGUUGGGGUCUUUUCUAGGUUGAGGAGCCUCCCUUGGGUCCACAAACUUCCCUAAUCCAUUAGGGCUCACUUGUCAUGCCCAAGGG
rnacentral:ncRNA from 1 species